rfam:Gossypium hirsutum cultivar TM-1 chromosome 24, whole genome shotgun sequence
UAUUAAAAAUUUCACCCAUUUGUACGUUAAAAAUUGGUAUGAUUGAUGAAAUAAUCAGAUAGUGAUACGUGGCUUACCACAUGUACCCCAUGCUGAUAUACAAUGACCAAUUUUUAGCUGUAGAAAUAAAUGAAAUUUUUAAUA